rnacentral:sRNA from 2 species
ACCAAAGUUUUCUAGGGUUCCGGGUCGUAUACACGGCUGGCUGGUCCGAGAGAAAACGCAUCAGUGGUUAUCCACUGAUGUACACGGCGGGAAAAAAAGCCCGGGAGAA